UCUACAUGCAAUGAACUGGACAACAUGUAACUCUAUAUAUAAACAAAAUGUUCAAUAGCAGUGUAAGCUGUUCGCUUUUAGUCAAAAAAAUAAAAACACAGACGAUGUGGUUUGUAACUCUUUUGUUGAUGUUGUAUCUAACGGAGAACGGAUGUUUUGGUUGUUCAUGUGGUCCCCAAGGGUCUCUGCAAGAGGCCUUUUGUAGAAGUAGUUUUGUUAUCAAAGGAAAAGCUGUGAAGGAGGAACUCGAUCCACCUAUUAAAGGCGAUUUGUUCAGCAGCGACAACUCGUUUUGGGAUACCAAGAGAAUAUAUGACGUCAACGUCAUAGAAGUAUUUAAGGCGCCUGAAAACGUUGAAGUGAAACCAGGAGAUGUUAUCCAGGCUGUGACUCGUGCUAGUGGUUCAAUGUGCGGUGGAUCUUUGCAGUUAGAUACCGAACAAAUAAUUAUAGGCGGAGUUAAUGGGGAUGGUCAGUUAACGUUUAGUUUAUGUACCCACAAGGAACGAAAUGGGGUAACACCUUUACAGUUAGCAGGCUUGAGAGGAGAAUACUCUUGCUAAUAAAUUAAUGUUUAGCAAGUCAAAGUACGUUCCAAUUACAAUGAACUAACGUGUCAUCUAUGUACAUGUUUUGGAUACAAAACUGGUUGUCAACUGACAUGCAAAAGCUGUAAUGAAUAAGAAAAUCAGAAAUGUGAAUGAGACGUAGACAAAAAGAUAAAUUUGUCUACAUACCUGAAAUUAUAUAUAAUUGUUAAAUUUAAAAAAAAAUAUUGUAUUUUGUUAGAAAUAAAGAAAAAAAUAAAGGAACAUGUCUUACAACAUAAUUGA